GUGCUCGGUCCUUGAUUCUCGCAAAGGUGUGGUGUUUGAUCGUUAUUUUUUUUGCUACUUUUGUAUCGGGCGUUUCCCCCUACAUUCUGAAAUGGAACGAGGGGUUCUUAGUUCUGGGGACCCAGUUUGCUGGAGGAGUGUUUCUGGGAACUGCAAUGAUGCAUUUUCUCAGCGACGCUAAUGAAACCUUCGGGGACUUAACUCGCAAGGAGUACCCCUUCGCGUUCAUGCUCGCGUGUGCAGGGUACUUGAUGACCCUGCUCGCUGAUGCUGCCAUUUCCUCGGUUUUGAAGAAUACGGGGCGUGACCAACCGCGUGAUGCUGAGGAUGUCCAAGUU
rnacentral:misc_RNA from 1 species